rnacentral:rRNA from 1 species
AUUGAACGCUGGCGGCAGGCCUAACACAUGCAAGUCGAACGAGUGGCGGACGGGUGAGCAAUGUCUGUGAACCUGCCUGAGGGAUGGGGUUAACUACUGGAAACGGUAGCUAAUACCGCAUACCAUCAGAUGUGCCCAGUUGGGAUUGGCUAGUGGUUGGGGUAACGGCUCACCAAGGCGACGAUCCCUAGCUGGUCUGAGAGGAUGACCAGACACACUGGAACUGAGAAACGGUCCAGACUCCUACGGGAGGCAGCAGUGGGGAAUAUUGCAUAAUGGGCGCAAGCCUGAUGCAGCCAUGCCGCGUGUAUGAAGAAGGCCUUCGGGUUGUAAAGUACUUUCAGCGGGGAGGCGUUACCCGCAGAAGAAGCACCGGCUAACUCCGUGCCAGCAGCCGCGGUAAUUC